rnacentral:rRNA from 1 species
CACGUAGGGGGCCAGCGUUGCUCGGAAUUACUGGGCGUAAAGGGUUCGUAGGCGGUGUGGCAAGUCGGGAGUGAAAUCUCUGGGCUUAACUCAGAGGCUGCUUCCGAAACUGCCGUGCUAGAGUGCGGGAGAGGCGAGUGGAAUUGCAGGUGUAGCGGUGAAAUGCGUAGAUAUCUGCAGGAACACCCGUGGCGAAGGCGGCUCGCUGGACCGCAACUGACGCUGAGGAACGAAAGCUAGGGGAGCAAACAGG